rnacentral:rRNA from 1 species
UACGAAGGGGGCUAGCGUUGCUCGGAAUCACUGGGCGUAAAGGGUGCGUAGGCGGGUCUUUAAGUCAGGGGUGAAAUCCUGGAGCUCAACUCCAGAACUGCCCUUGAUACUGAGGAGCUCGAGUCCGGAAGAGGUGAGUGGAACUGCGAGUGUAGAGGUGAAAUUCGUAGAUAUUCGCAAGAACACCAGUGGCGAAGGCGGCUCACUGGUCCGGUACUGACGCUGAGGUGCGAAAGCGUGGGGAGCAAACAGG